AGUUCCCGCCUGCACUGAAAGAAUAGCUCAACAUCUGUCAUCCCAUUCUCUGCCAUGGCCCAAAAUCAGGAAGACUACAGCUGUCCUGUUCCUUUCAGAUACUUCUGGGAUAGAGAGGUUGGGAAUUAUACCACAACUGCUGAGUGCUGGAUGAAGAUGGAAAUGAGAGGUGUACAAUGUACACUAGUGCAUUGCUAGCAAGCCCACAGAUAGUAUCUUCUGUGGUUUGUAUGGAAAAGAGGGAAAGGAAUGGGGAGGAAGGAAAGAGGCUGGGAAGAAUAUGUUACCACCUUAAAAAAUGUUCAACCACAAACCUUCAUCAGUUCAUUUGUUUAAUACCUAGCAAUUUAGUAAAUAUAUACACAUAUAUAUAUA